rnacentral:rRNA from 1 species
AACGCUGGCGGAAUGCUUUACACAUGCAAGUCGAACGGCAGCACGGGGGCAACCCUGGUGGCGAGUGGCGAACGGGUGAGUAAUAUAUCGGAACGUGCCCAGUCGUGGGGGAUAACGUAGCGAAAGUUACGCUAAUACCGCAUACGAUCUACGGAUGAAAGCGGGGGAUCGCAAGACCUCGCGCGAUUGGAGCGGCCGAUAUCAGAUUAGGUAGUUGGUGGGGUAAAGGCUCACCAAGCCAACGAUCUGUAGCUGGUCUGAGAGGACGACCAGCCACACUGCGACUGUGCACGGCCCAGACUCGUACGGGAGGCAGCAGUGCGGAAUUUUGGACAAUGGACGCAAGUCUGAUCCAGCCAUUCCGCGUGCAGGACGAAGGCCUUCGGGUUGUAAACUGCUUUUGUACGGAACGAAAAAGCUCUUAUUAAUACUAGGAGUCCAUGACGGUACCGUAAGAAUAAGCACCGGCUAACUACGUGCCAGCAGCCGCGGUAAUACGUAGGGUGCGAGCGUUAAUCGGAAUUACUGGGCGUAAAGCGUGCGCAGGCGGUUAUAUAAGACAGAUGUGAAAUCCCCGGGCUCAACCUGGGAACUGCAUUUGUGACUGUAUAGCUAGAGUGCGGCAGAGGGGGAUGGAAUUCCGCGUGUAGCAGUGAAAUGCGUAGAUAUGCGGAGGAACACCGAUGGCGAAGGCA